GACGAACGCUGGCGGCGUGCCUAACACAUGCAAGUCGAGCGAGAGGAGUUCUUCGGAACGAAUCUAGCGGCGGACGGGUGAGUAACACGUGGGCAACCUGCCUUAUAGAGGGGAAUAGCCUUCCGAAAGGAAGAUUAAUACCGCAUAACAUUGCAUUUUCGCAUGAAGAAGCAAUUAAAGGAGCAAUCCGCUAUAAGAUGGGCCCGCGGCACAUUAGCUAGUUGGUGAAGUAACGGCUCAUCAAGGCGACGAUGCGUAGCCGACCUGAGAGGGUGAUCGGCCACGUUGCGACUGAGACACGGCCCAGACUCCUACGGGAGGCAGCAGUGGGGAAUAUUGCACAAUGGGGGAAACCCUGAUGCAGCAACGCCGCGUGAGUGAUGAAGGUUUUCGGAUCGUAAAACUCUGUCUUUGGGGACGAUAAUGACGGUACCCAAGGAGGAAGCCACGGCUAACUACGUGCCAGCCGCCGCGGUAAUAC
rnacentral:rRNA from 1 species